rnacentral:lncRNA from 1 species
UUCUAUGCCACUGGCAUCAGAAGACCAUGACUUUACGUUUCUAUGCCACUGGCAUCAGAAGACCAUGACUUUACGUUUCUAUGCCACUGGCAUCAGAAGACCAUGACUUUACGUUUCUAUGCCACUGGCAUCAGAAGACCAUGACUUUAUGUUUCUAUGCCACUGGCAUCAGAAGUCCAUAACUUUACGUUUCUAUGCCAUUGGCAUCAGACGACCAUGACUUUACGUUUCUAUGCCAUUGCAAGCCUGAACACAUUUUAUUUGUCAAACAACUCACAACAUUCAUGGCCAAUAUUGGCGAGAGAUGCUUUUAAGUUAUUUUAAUGACCACGCUAAGUUUUAAAGUCUGUUAAAAGAGAGGGUUUUCAUUUCCUUUAUAAACAGUUUGAAAAAUGUUGGUGGAUACAAGCUUCCCCUCUUUCUGACAUGUUGGAAAGUGGGACAUUUGUCACAGCUUCCAUAUAAAACAUAUGAGACAGCUAUCAUGGUGUAAAAUGUGCUUUAUUUGGUGUUAUGUAUGCCUUUUUAAUCGUUUAACUCCUGUUAUCUAAUCAAUUCUACUUCUUGAGUCAAUAGCUAAGGGCGUAAGGUAGCCUAGCAGUUAAGAACAUUCAGCCAGUCAUCCUCAAGCCGACUACGUGAAAAAUCUGUCUGCGCCCUUGAGCAAGGCACUUAACCCUAAUUUUCUCCUGUAAAUCAAUUUAAGAGUGUCUGCUAAAUGACUAAAAUGUAAAUGUCUAACCUCCAUUCCUCUGCUCCUCCCUCUCUUCCAAGCUCACCUUUUUGAGUUGUUUCAGGUCUGCUCCACUAGGUGGCAGCACAGCUCUAGAAUAGAAUAAUAUUAAUAUAUGACAGAAUAGACAGGUUGUAUUGAAGGCAGCUUGUAUCUGGUAGCGGUUGGUGCCUGAUCAAGGUUGUAAUCAUUAGUUCAAACAGUUGCAUACGAGAGUUUCUAUUGGUCAGAUUCAUGUAGGUUUAUCCCCGUUUUUGUUUCCGUUUGCUUCCGUUUAAGAAACAUUUUUCAACAAUCAGUGGAAUGAAUACACCCCUGAUCACCAGCACACACAGUUCACUUUCAUAGCAGCCACAUACAAACAGCAUCAUCACUUUGCUUGUUGUACACUGCUCAAAAAAAAUAAAGGGAACACUUAAACAACACAAUGUAACUCCAAGUCAAUCACACUUCUGUGAAAUCAAACUGUCCACUUAGGAAGCAAC